CUGUUUGAUCACAUGACAUCGUUAGCCAGCAGUGUGUCUCCUGAAAAGAGAGCUGUUUAGAGAGGCAGUUUUGAAUUCAGGAGCGGCAAGAUGGCAGCGGCAAACCCUGGCGGUUCUCCGGGUUCGUGGCAACCACGGAUGGGAAAAUGUGGAGGUUGCACGGCUGAUGUUUACUGUUCGUGGCACAGGAAGAGGCAGUUUCAUUUCAGGAAUGAGUGUGCACAAUCAAAGAAUAGAGCGACUGUGGAGAGACCUCUGGGUGGCCGUUGCAUGCAUUUACUACGAUGUUCUUCACAACCUUGAGGAAGAAGGCCUUCUUGACAUUUCAAAUGCUGCACACCUCUUUUGCUGCCAUUACAUCUUUCUUCCUCGACUGGAGGAUGAUUUUAAUACAUUUUGCAGUGGAUGGGACAACCAUCCACUGCGAACAGAAAACAACACGAGUCCCAACCAGCUGUGGGAGUUGUGUCACAGAUAUCACCCUGUUCCUGUUCCAGAAAACACACAGCUUAUCACACAUUUGAUUUCCAUGUGUGACAACUGCAAGUGUCCAGAGUGAGGACAGAC